GGUGGGGACUGUCUCCCUGUACAGGUGAACAUGGUCCUAGAGACAGUCCAGAUCGAGGGUGGGAUAGUGGGGACUGUCUCCCUGUACAGGUGAACAUGGUCCUAGAGACAGUCCAGAUCGAGGGUGGGAUAGUGGGGACUGUCUCCCUGUACAGGUGAACAUGGUCCUAGAGACAGUCCAGAUCGAGGGUGGGAUAGUGGGGACUGUCUCCCUGUACAGGUGAACAUGGUCCUAGAGACAGUCCAGAUCGAGGGUGGGAUAGUGGGGACUGUCUCCCUGUACAGGUGAACAUGGUCCUAGAGACAGUCCAGAUCGAGGGUGGGAUAGUGGGGACUGUCUCCCUGUACAGGUGAACAUGGUCCUAGAGACAGUCCAGAUCGAGGGUGGGAUAGUGGGGACUGUCUCCCUGUACAGGUGAACAUGGUCCUAGAGACAGUCCAGAUCGAGGGUGGGAUGGUGGUGACUGUCUCCCUGUACAGGUGAACAUGGUCCUAGAGACAGUCCAGAUCGAGGGUGGGAUGGUGGGGACUGUCUCCCUGUACAGGUGAACAUGGUCCUAGAGACAGUCCAGAUCGAGGGUGGGGUGGGGGGACUGUCUCCCUGUACAGGUGAACAUGGUCCUAGAGACAGUCCAGAUCGAGGGUGGGAUGGUGGGGACUGUCUCCCUGUACAGGUGAACAUGGUCCUAGAGACAGUCCAGAUCGAGGGUGGGAUGGUGGUGACUGUCUCCCUGUACAGGUGAACAUGGUCCUAGAGACAGUCCAGAUCGAGGGUGGGAUGGUGGGGACUGUCUCCCUGUACAGGUGAACAUGGUCCUAGAGACAGUCCAGAUCGAGGGUGGGAUGGUGACUGUCUCCCUGUACAGGUGAACAUGGUCCUAGAGACAGUCCAGAUCGAGGGUGGGAUGGUGGGGACUGUCUCCCUGUACAGGUGAACAUGGUCCUAGAGACAGUCCAGAUCGAGGGUGGGAUGGUGGUGACUGUCUCCCUGUACAGGUGAACAUGGUCCUAGAGACAGUCCAGAUCGAGGGUGGGAUGGUGGUGACUGUCUCCCUGUACAGGUGAACAUGGUCCUAGAGAC